UAGAGUUUGAUUAUGGCUCAGGAUGAACGCUGGCGGCAUGCCUAAUACAUGCAAGUCGAACGAGAGACCUUCGGGUCUCUAGUGGCGAACGGGUGAGUAACACGUAGGGAACCUGCCCGCGCACCGGGAAUACGCUCUGGAAACGGAGAACAAAUCCCGAUGUACAGGAAGGAGGCAUCUUCUUUCUGUGAAACAUCCUUUAGGGGAUGGGGCGCGGAUGGACCUGCGGUGCAUUAGUUGGUUGGCGGGGUAAAGGCCCACCAAGACGAUGAUGCAUAGCCGGCCUGAGAGGGCGGACGGCCACAUUGGGACUGAGACACGGCCCAGACUCCUGCGGGAGGCAGCAGUAGGGAAUUUUCGUCAAUGGGCGCAAGCCUGAACGAGCGAUGCCGCGUGAGUGAAGAAGGCCUUCGGGUCGUAAAGCUCUGUUGCGGGGGAAAAAAGGCAGCAUCAGGAAAUGGGUGCUGACUGAUGGUGCCCCGCCAGAAAGUCACGGCUAACUACGUGCCAGCAGCCGCGGUAAUACGUAGGUGGCGAGCGUUAUCCGGAAUGAUUGGGCGUAAAGGGUGCGCAGGCGGUCCUGCAAGUCUGGAGUGAAACGCAUGAGCUCAACUCAUGCAUGGCUUUGGAAACUGGAGGACUGGAGAGCAGGAGAGGGCGGUGGAACUCCAUGUGUAGCGGUAAAAUGCGUAGAUAUAUGGAAGAACACCAGUGGCGAAGGCGGCCGCCUGGCCUGUUGCUGACGCUGAG
rnacentral:rRNA from 1 species